AUAAGAUAUCAAGGGCAACAGGUGAAUGCCUUGGCGCUGAGAGGCGAUGAAAGACGCGGUAAGCUGCGAUAAGCAUCGGGGAGGAGCUAAACAUCCUACGAUCCGAUGAUUUCUGAAUGGGGAAACCCGAUGGGAGUCAUGUCCCGUCAUCCUGAGCUGAAUAUAUAGGCCCAGAGAAGCCAACCCGGGGAAGUGAAACAUCUCAGUACCCGGAGGAAGAGAAAUCAAACGAGACUCCCAAAGUAGCGGCGAGCGAAAUGGGAAGAGCCCAAACCGGGUGGUUUCGACCAUUCGGGGUUGUAGGGCCGGCAUACGCGAUUCUGGAGUAGGCAGAGGAAGUGAGCUGGAAAGCUCCGCCACAGCGGGUGAUAGCCCCGUACUCGAAACCGAAAAGGACGCAGCCGGUACCUGAGUACUGCGAGGCACGUGGAACCUCGUGGGAAUCUAGGGGGACCAUCCUCUAAGGCUAAGUACUCCUCAGCGACCGAUAGUGAACUAGUACCGUGAGGGAAAGGUGAAAAGAACCCCUGUUAGGGGAGUGAAAUAGAAUCUGAAACCUGUUGCCUACAAGCUGCGAGAGCUGCUUUUUGCAGUGAUCGCGUGCCUUUUGUAUAAUGAGUCAGCGAGUUACUCUACCGUGCGAGGUUAAGCGAAAGCGUAGCCGUAGUGAAAGCGAGGCUUAAUAGGCCGACUAGUACGUUGGAGUAGACCCGAAACCGGGUGAUCUAUCCAUGAGCAGGUUGAAGCAAGGGUAAAGCCUUGUGGAGGACCGAACCGUCAACGGCUGAAAACGUUCCGGAUGACUUGUGGAUAGGGGUGAAAGGUCAAUCAAACCCGGUGAUAGCUGGUUCUCCCCGAAAUAUAUUGAGGUAUAGCCUCGGGAAUUGAUUAGCGGAGGUAAAGCACUGACAGAGCUAGGGGUCCUACCAGAUUACCAAACUCUAUCAAACUCAGAAUGCCGCUUAAUCGUAUCCCGGGAGUCAGACGGCGGGUGCGAAGGUUCGUCGUCAAAAGGGAAACAGCCCAGACCAACAGCUAAGGUCUCCAAAUCCAUGCUCAGUGGUGAAGGUAGUGGAACCGUUUAGACAGCCAGGACGUUGGCUUAGAAGCAGCCAUCGUUUAAAGAAAGCGUAAUAGCUCACUGGUCUAAUGGCUCUGCGCCGAAAAUGUAACGGGGCUAAGCAUGGUACCGAAGCUUUGGCAAUCCCCUUUGGGGAUUGGGUAGGGGAGCGUUCGCUGCGGGCUGAAGGUGUGCCGGAAGGCAUGCUGGACUGCAGUGAAGUGAUUAUGCUGACAUGAGUAACGAUAAAAUAUGUGAAAAACAUAUUCGCCGAAAACCCGAGGUUUCCUGGGUAAAGGUAAUCUUCCCAGGGUUAGUCGGAUCCUAAGGUGAGGGUGAAAGCCGUAACCGAUGGAAAACAGGUUAAUAUUCCUGUACUUGUUGUGUAGCGCGAUGGAGGGACGCAGGAAGAUAGGCGGGCCGGGUGUUGGAUAUCCCGGUGCAAGCGUGUAGGAAUAUCCGGUAGGCAAAUCCGCCGGACGAAUCUGAGACGCGAGUCCGUGGGCGCAAGCCCUGAAGCCGUUGAGUCUAUGCUGCCUAGAAAAGCUCCUAAGUUUAUCCACAGCAAUCCGUACCGCAAACCAACUCAGGUGGGUGGGAUGAACAAUCCAAGGCGCUCGAGAGAACUCUGGCCAAGGAACUCGGCAAAAUAACCCCGUAACUUCGGAAGAAGGGGUGCUCUCUAGGGUGACAUGUUUAACAUAUGAAGCCCCGGGGAGCCGCAGUGAAUUGGUGGUGGCGACUGUUUACUAAAAACAUAGGUCUGUGCGAAGUCCUAAAGACGACGUAUACGGACUGACGCCUGCCCGGUGCUGGAAGGUUAAAAGGAGGGGUCAGCGCAAGCAAAGCUCCGAAUUGAAGCCCCAGUAAACGGCGGCCGUAACUAUAACGGUCCUAAGGUAGCGAAAUUCCUUGUCGGGUAAGUUCCG
rnacentral:rRNA from 1 species